rnacentral:rRNA from 1 species
UACGGAGGGUGCAAGCGUUAUCCGGAUUCACUGGGUUUAAAGGGUGUGUAGGCGGGUAUUUAAGUCAGUGGUGAAAUCUCCAGGCUCAACCUGGAAACUGCCAUUGAUACUAUUUAUCUUGAAUUCUGUUGAGGUGGGCGGAAUACAUCAUGUAGCGGUGAAAUGCUUAGAUAUGACACAGAACACCGAUUGCGAAGGCAGCUCACUAAACUGUAACUGACGCUGAGGCACGAAAGCGUGGGGAGCAAACAGG